GACGAACGCUGGCGGCGUGCUUAACACAUGCAAGUCGAACGAAGUGGCGAACGGGUGAGUAACUCGUAAUCAACUUGCCCUUCAGAGGGGGACAACAGUUGGAAACGACUGCUAAUACCGCAUACUGAAGGAGGGGAUUGCGUCUGUUUAGCUAGUUGGAGGGGUAACGGCCCCCCAAGGCGCUGAGCAGUAGCCGGUCUGAGAGGAGUAACGGCCACAUUGGGACUGGGACACGGCCCAGACUCCGACGGGAGGCAGCAGUGGGGAAUCUUCCGAAAUGGACGGAAGUCUGACGGAGCAACGCCGCGUGAGUGAUGACGGCCUUCGGGUUGGAAAGCUCUGUUAAUCGGGACGCGGUACCGGAAUAGAAAGCCACGGCUAACUACGUGCCAGCAGCCGCGGUAAUAC
rnacentral:rRNA from 1 species